GGGCCUGUAGCUCAGAGGAUAGAGCAGUGGUUUCCUAAACCGCGUGUCGGGGGUUCGAGUCCCUCCAGGCCUACCA
rnacentral:tRNA from 1 species